UACAGUGCCAGUAGGUGCUCUUAAGCAGUUGAAGUGUGUCUUGACAAGUGUGACUGAGAAAAUGAAUUUUAAAUGGUUUUAAGUAAUUUAAAUGUAAGAGCUACACACGACUGAUGUUAACACUGAUCAGCGGUGCUCUGUAGUUUGAGCACCUGGCCCGGGGCUAAGGUUGAUGCUAACAGAAGUUUGUUGAACAAAAGAGUGCAUGAAUGUUAAACUCUUAACAGUUUUCCCCAUCUACUCUCUUCUUUGUGCUUCACAACUACCCUUUGAGGAAUCGUAGCAGAGCAAUAAUUAUUUUAUAGAUGGUGAUGAGGACAAUACAGCUGUUCCUAUGCCUCCCAUUACUCACUAUUAACAAUCAUGACAACUGCCAGGUAUUGAGAGUUACUGCAGGUGCCAGCUGGGUACUGUGAACAUAUUCUUUAUUCUUCAUGAGGUAGUAUCUUAUGGGGGUCUCCCCCUGUGUUCAUUUUCUAGGGCCACCAUAACAAAAUACCACACCCUGGGUGGCUUAUCCAACAGAAAUGUAUUUGUCAUGGUUCAAGUAGCUGGGAGUCCAAGGUCAAGGUGUCAGGAGUUUUGGCUUCUCCUGAAGCUUCUCUCCUCGUCUUGGACAUGGCUGCCUUCUCUAACGUGGCCUUUUCUCUCUGUAUGUACAUCCCGGUGCCUCCUUGUUCAAAUUCCUCUUCUUAUAAGGACACUGAUCACACUGCAUCAGGGCCUACCUUAACCGCUUUUAUGGAAGUCAAUCACCUCUUUAAUGGCCCCGUCUCCAAAUACCCUCACAUUCUGAGAAACUGGGGGUUAGGGCAUCAACAUGUGAACUUGGAAAGGACACAAUGUAUCCAUAACACCCCUAGUGGAAACUCUGAGACAAGGCCUUGAGUGCAGGUUGUUCAUUUCGGAAACACAACUGAGGUGUUUUUGUUUUUGUUUUUGUUUUGGGGGAGUGGAAUGUGAGAUGUAGAAACACCAGUAAAGGGUGUGUUAAAUGAGUAGGUUACUAGAUCCCAGCCCUGCUGGGGAACAUGGGUCAGAAUGGACUGACCAUAGCCUGAGGAGGCUGCAGCGUUUACCCAUAGUUUCUGUAUUGGGCACCACCCUCUAGCACCUUCUGAUUGCCUCUGCCUCUGCAGAGCAGGCUCUUUUGGUGCAAGAGAAAUCCUUCCAGCAGGGGUGAAAGAGAUACAGGUGUUUAAGGUGGGAGGCUGUCAGGUGUAGCCAGAAACUCAACUGUGCUGGGGACAUGGUGGGAAAGAGAUGGGCAGGGCAUGAGCAGCACCUGCUACAGGAAAGACAGGUUAUUAUCUCUAUUUUCCAGAUGAGGAAACUGAGACAGAAGUUGAGUAACUGAUAAUAGAUGAUGGCAUUUGAACUUGAAUUUAGUGUAUUUGAUUGCAGAGCCCACACUCUUAGCUAUCACAUAUUGAGGUGUAAUUAAUUUACAGUAUUUAUUACUUUCAGGCAUGCCACACAGGGAUUUGCUAUUUUUAUACACUAGGAAAUGAUCACCAUGAUAAGUCUUGUUAGCAUACAAAGUUAUUACCAUAUUGUUGACUAUAUUCCCUCGGCUGUACAUUUGUACAUUAAUGAACCUCAUUCCUUCAUUGAAUCAACCUUUCCUGGGCAUCUUCUCUAGGCCAACCAUGCUAGUGCUAGGAGUAGGGCGAUGGGCAAGACACAGAUCUGCUUUCAUGGAGCUUGUGAUCCAGUAGAGACUUAUCCAGAAUUAGUCAGUGGCAGAACUGGAGUGAUGAUAACCCAGGUCUUCAGACUCCUGGUACAGUGUCCUUUGUUCUCCCCAAGCCAAGUUCUAGACCUGCAGGUGAAUGUUAAACACUUUCAGGCAAUUUCCGUUCUUCUUAUUGCCACUCCCUUCUCAGUCUCAGAGAUCAAUCUUUCUGUUGGCAUAAAAUGCCUCGUUCUUCAGCUUUGUUCCCAAAAGAGGCUCUCUGGAAGAUGUAGCAAAAGGUGCCCGUGGGGUUUAUCCCUGGGGUGUGUUUUUUCUUGUUCCCUUUUGCUCUCUCCUUCUCCCUGUGCAUGUGGGUAUUGCCAGGUGUGGUGUCUCUGCAUCCGCGUUCUGGUAUGUGGCCCAGGUGAAUUUAAUCAAGAUGCCUGCCACGCUCUAUAACACGCGGGGCUGCACCUACGAGCCCUUUCAAAGGCUCCCAUGAUCCUCGAGUAGGAAGGAUGGUCAUGUCCGGCAUCUCCGUGUGUUUCUUGGCAGGAAAAGGAAGCCUCUCCUCCCAGGUUUGAAUUUCUUUGAAUCAAAUUUAUUAUUCUGGGGUGGCAAGAAUUUGAAGUCUGCAUGAGAACGUGUGUGUUGAUGUAGCUAUGUCUGACAAAGAUUGAUAUAUUGUGCCUGUGUUGAUAUUUCUGUCGCCAGAGCUGACACAUCCAUUUUUUUUGCCCUUCAAAUGUGCAUUCACUUACAAUAGUUCAUUUGCGUCUCACAAAAGCCUUUGUGAAGUCAUUAGAAUAGGCGUUGUCCUUAUUUUACGGUGUGAAACAAGUUGAGGGAGUUGAAUGCUUGUUCUAUUUCAUAGGGUUUUCUGGAAGAAUGCGUGAAUCUAUAAAUGUGAAAUGACAUUUGUAGAAGGUAAAGUCUUAUACAGAUAUUAUUGUUCCCAAAGUCACACGUCUCUUUCCUGACAGAGUUGGAAUCCAAAGACAAGUUUUUUGACUUCUAGAGCAACACAGGGAUUCUGCUUCUGUAAGAUGGUUGUUUUUACUAACGUCUUUUAAAAUAUUGAAGGAAUCUAAUUACUUCUCAGGUUAAUGCUGAAAAUCUUGAUAUUAAGCAAGUCUGUGAAUUACUAUUACUGGGUGUUUUGGUUACGACUACUGCAGAACAAAUGACUCUAAAUUUAGUGUGGGAAAAUAGCCAUUUUAUUAAGGUCAUGAAUUCCAUGGGUCAGAAAUCUCCAAAGGGCAUUGAAGCUGCUCCAUGAUAUCUGGGGCCUUAACUGGGGACAGUCAAAGGCUGGAAAUAACCUGAGGUCUCUUCCACGCACAUGUUUGGUGCUUAACCUGGGUUGACGAUCCGGACUGCUGGUCUUCUAUGUGGCUUGGGCUUCCUCACAGCAUGGCUGCCUGAGGAUAAUUUUCUUACCUAGCAGCUCAGGCUCCAAGUGUAAAUACUUCACUCAACAAGGCAGAAGCUUCUAACAGGGGAGCCACAAGCCCCAACAAGGAAAGAGGGGGGCGGUUACAGAUCCUUCCUCUCUAUGGAAGGAAUGUCAGAAUCAUUCUAGCAGAGCUUGUGGAAUAAGAGGUAUUGUUGCAUCUAUUUUUGUAAAAUGCAAUUUCCCACACCUGGUCUCAUCUUACUCUCUUGUCCUUUAAUUUUUUUAAAGUUCUAGAAUCACAUGUAUUUAUGUAGAAUGCUUCCAUGUUUGGAAAAAAAAAUGUGGAAGUACGAAAGAGAACUAUAAAUGUUAUCCUUGUGAGCAGAGUGAAAAUGGACACAUAGUUGACAUUUCCUCUGACUCUACAAGUAAGGCUUUUACCAUAAACCUAGGAAGAUUAACCAUUGGGUAAGUAAAUUGGCCAUUCCACCUGUGACUGGUAUUGCUUAUUGAGGCAGGUCUUGAUUGCCUUAAAUGGUUUGUAGUUUGCAGCUGUGAUGCAGAUGCCUUUCAGCUAUAUCUGCGUUAAAUGCGCAUCUGUCAACCCCACCCUUGAGUUAAUAAAAAUCAAUGUGUGAGACAGGUUGGUUGAAAACUCUGCUGGUGUAGCAGGAGUAUAUGAUAUUGUAGGGCAAGAGAUUUGAUGGGCAGUGGGUGUUUCAGAGUGACAGGAUGAAAGCAGUCAGUGUGUGAUGUGAUAGAUAAAAGCAACAACUGGACCAAGCAUUUGUCAAAGCUUUGUUACUGACACAUACGUGUGAAUAGGAGCCAGACAAGAAACGGAUUUCCCAGGAAUCUUCGGGAAGGGGUUUAUAUGGGGAAAAGUCAAAGUAACACAAGGUGGUUUCACAAAAUCCAGGGUGGUUGUUUCAAGGGAAAUGCUGAGAAGGCUUUGUGUCCAGAUUUCAAAGACACUGCUGCUGCUAUUCAGAUUUGUGUACCUAUACACACACACAUACACACACACGCAUGCCCUGCUUGCUUGGUAUGCUGGGGUGAGUUAAGCUCAGAUGACACUUGUACCUAAUUAUGGUUUGGUUUGCAGAAUUGUUAGGACAUAAAGGUUAGAUUAUACCAGGAUGCCUGCAAGAUUUCCUGCUCAUUAAAGAAACUUUCUUGGGAGCUAUUGAAUCCCUGUUGCCAUCAAGGCUCUGGGAGGGACACAAAGACCUUUGAGGCUUGGAUCCCGCAUUCUAGCGGGGGAGGUAAGAUGUGAAAUGCACAAUGUUGUGUUAAGCGGAUUUGUGUUUAAGAGGCUGAGUGCCUCAAGAGGCUUGAGUGUUGCUGACGUGGUUAUUCUCACUGGGAGCAGGGUGUCCUCUAUGAGAUGAGGCUUUCAGGGACGUUUCUUCCAAGGAGACAGGCCCCCAAAUGAACUUGGUGGGUGACAGGAUUCAGAAGAUGAGUAGUCGAGGGUGUUCCUGACUCACCCUGAGGAAGUAGGGGCUGUAGAACAGGGUGUGGUCCACAGUGUGGAGGCAGGAAUGAUGGGUGUAGGCUCCCUGCUUGCCCCAGAGGGUAAUAGCAACUGACCUUGGCAAGUCUGUCGAGGUCAUGUUGGAGAGGGCAGCUGGCUUUGGGGCUGGUGGCAGAAGGAUCCCUGCACAACUUUGUUUGCAGGUAAGGCUGGGAGGACUGGUUCAGAGGCUCCACAACCAAUGUGGAGCAGCCAGAGCUGAGAGCAACCUUGCCUGGGAAUCACCGUUGGCUGGGAGGCUUGCCUUUGAUUUUGUGAUUCCUUACCAAGUGACUGUGCUGAUAAGGACACUUGAGCCACUGUAUGAAUUACUCAGAUCAAAUUAAAAGUCACCAGGAUAAGCCCAGCGGAGACUGGGCCUGUUUCUGAGUUUCAACUGGCACAACUGAAGCUUCCGUAAUGAACCCAGCUGCUUGGGGAGCUGCUAUGUUCCUGGGGUCCAGAGCCCCAGCAAGUCCUGGGCUGCUUGGAGCCCCUGAGAGAAGAGGGCAGAGUCGGCCUCCACCUCCACUUGCUGCUACCUGGCUGCAAGUUGGCGAGGGACAUGCAUAGAGAAGGCUCUGAUCCUCUUUUAAUCUUGUGGAAUUGGGUUGGGGAAUGCUGCUACAGUUAGAAACAAACAUCAGAGAGAAUCAGAUUGGGAGAGGGAGAGAACUGGGGUGGGGUGCUUGCCUCUCUCCUGCCUCCCUGCUUACUGUGGAUGCUUAGGAAUGCUUGAAGCUGAUUGGACUAGCCUGGGAGUGUUAGUGCAUACUUACCAUUGGUAAUUCAAAAUGCUAUCAAACUUUCAUGCCUUUGAACAAACAUCAUAGAAGUGAUGGAGAGUGAAAACUCUGUUCUUUUAAAGCAGCCACCGAAUAUGAUUUUCUCCAGCAAAGGACUGUUAGAAUUUAUUCCUUUAUUGAGCACCUACUAUGUGUCAGAGGUUUUCUUUUGUCUCAACUAAUUUUUCUACUUAAAUUAAGAUGGUGAUAUAAACGUGGAACAAUAUUCCACCACAGAGAGUAAGUAAAGAAGUGGGUAUGUUUUCCAAUGACGUCAUCACCAUAACCAUCAUUUUGCCUAUGAAAUAAGUCAAAAGAAUUACAACAUUCAUUUCUGGUAAUAAAAGCACUGACUCUCAGUAGUCACACAUGAUAAUGCUGUCAUAAACUGGAACUGUUUGGAAAGCAAUUAGAAAUAAUUAAUCAAGAGCCAGAAAGAUACUCAUAUUCUUUGGGUCAAUAACUCUUUCCUCUGGGAAUCAGAUCUUUAAGAAACUAUUCAAGUAUAGAACAAAGGUGUUUGUGCGCUGGACUUCCCGUCAUGGCUCAGUGGUUAAUGAACCUGACUAGCAUUCGUGAGGACACAGGCUUGAUCCCUGGCCUUGCUCAGUGGAUUAAGGAUCCAGCAUUGCUGUGAGCUACGGUGUAGGUUGCAGAUGAGGUUCAGAUCUGUGGCUGUGGCGUAGGCUGGUGGCUACAGCUCCAAUUCGACCCCUAGCCUGAAUGCAGUGGGUAUGGCCCUAAGAAAACAAAAGCCAAAAAAAAAAAAAAAAAUGCUUGUGCCCAAAGUGAAGAUGGGGUGACUUACCUAGUGAUGCUUGUUUAGACAUCCCGAAUCUUACAGCUGCUCCCAGGGUUUCCUGAUCUCCCUGGUUCUCAAGGUGUGUCCCUUAUUUCAGCAUCACCUAGGGACUUAAUAGAAAUGGGAAUUCCUGUGCUCCUUUCCACACCUGCCAGUUCAGCAGCUCUAGGGGUGGAGCCCAGCAAUUUGGGGUUUAACCCACACUACUGGGGAUGCUGUUGGCUUUUCAAGUCUGAGAACCACUGGCCUAACUUGGUAUAGCCUCUAAAAGUUUGACAAGAGCAGCUAAAAAGAGGGGGGCUAGGUCUGGGCUUUCACUGCUCUCCAGAUUAUGCCUAGAACAAGUUCAUUAGGCACAGUUCUUGAUUUUUUUUUUUGGCCAAUCUUGAGAGGUUUCCAGCUACUGCAGAUCCAUAUAGUAUCUAUGAAAGAUGCUACAGUGGAUUAGACAGAGGGGAGAAACAGGGAGCACAUGUUUAUUACACUUAUUUCCUCUUUGAGUUGCAGAGAGAGAGGGAGUACAAAAAAGUAGUGAUCAAUAAGCAAUGAGAUUCUGCUGCAUAGCACUAGGGACUAUAUCUAGUCACUUAUGAUGGAGCAUAAUGGAGGAUAAUGUGAGAAAAAGAAUGUAUAUCUGUAUGUAUGGCUAGUCACUUUGCUGUACAGUAGAAAAUUGAUGGAACACUGUAAACCAGCUAUAAUGGAAAAAAUAAAAAUCAUUUAAAAACAAAAAAACCCUCAAAAGUAGGGAUCAUUCUUUGUCCCCCUAAAAAAAAAAAAAACCUGAUAAACCUAAUAAUAAAACUGUCUUGGAGUUGCUUUUGUGGCUUGGUGGGUUAAGAACCUGGCUAAUAUCCAUGAGGAUGUGGGUUCAGUCCCUGGCCUUGCUCAGUGGGUUAAGGAUCCAGUGUUGCCUUGAGCUAUGGUGUAGGUCACAGGCAUGGCUCGGAUCCCAUUGCUGUGACUGUGGUGUAGACCAGCAGCUGCAGCUC
rnacentral:lncRNA from 1 species